rnacentral:rRNA from 1 species
UGAGUUUGAUCCUGGCUCAGAACGAACGCUGGCGGCAGGCCUAACACAUGCAAGUCGAACGCCGUAGCAAUACGGAGUGGCAGACGGGUGAGUAACACGUGGGAACGUGCCCAAAGGUACGGAACAACUCCGGGAAACUGGAGCUAAUACCGUAUGUGCCCGAGAGGGGAAAGAUUUAUCGCCUUUGGAUCGGCCCGCGUCUGAUUAGCUUGUUGGUGAGGUAACGGCUCACCAAGGCGACGAUCAGUAGCUGGUCUGAGAGGAUGGCCAGCCACACUGGGACUGAGACGCGGCCCAGACUCCUACGGGAGGCAGCAGUGGGGAAUAUUGGACAAUGGGCGCAAGCCUGAUCCAGCCAUGCCGCGUGAGUGAUGAAGGCCCUAGGGUUGUAAAGCUCUUUCGCCAGGGACGAUAAUGACGGUACCUGGAUAAGAAGCCCCGGCUAACUUCGUGCCAGCAGCCGCGGUAAUAC